GUCCAGUGUGCCAAAGAAAAAACCUUUCUUGCUAGGCGUGUCUUGUCACUUUUACCUCUUCUGCCCUCCAUUCUUUCAUGAUCUCCAGAGAAGGGGGAGGGAGGAUGAAGUCCUCGUCCCCUGAUGAUGGGUGUCCGACCUAACGUCGGUAUCUCAAUCUUCCAUUGGUGUUGCUGCCGUUGCACCCGCUCUGUCGAAUGGGUUGUUAGCCAGCAUACUGGAGAGGACUUCUUCCCCCGGAGCUGUC